rnacentral:sRNA from 2 species
UCGCAAGAUGUGGCGUGUUAGUUUUAGAGCUAGAAAUAGCAAGUUAAAAUAAGGCUAGUCCGUUAUCAACUUGAAAAAGUGGCACCGAGUCGGUGCUUUU